rnacentral:rRNA from 1 species
UACGUAGGGGGCAAGCGUAGUCCGGAUUUAUUGGGCGUAAAGAGCGUGUAGGCGGCUUUACAGGUCCGUUGUGAAAACUCGAGGCUCAACCUCGAGACGCCGGUGGAAACCGUAAGGCUAGAGUCCGGAAGAGGAGAGUGGAAUUCCUGGUGUAGCGGUGAAAUGCGCAGAUAUCAGGAGGAACACCCGUGGCGAAAGCGGCUCUCUGGGACGGUACUGACGCUGAGACGCGAAAGCGUGGGGAGCAAACAGG